AUUGAACGCUGGCGGCAGGCCUAACACAUGCAAGUCGAGCGGUUGAAGGGUGCUUGCUCCUGGAUUGAGCGGCGGACGGGUGAGUAAUGCCUAGCAAUCUGCUUGGUAGUGGGGGAUAACGUCUGGAAACGGGCGUUAAUACCGCAUACGUCCUGUGGGAGAAAGUGGGGGCUCAUUGGACCUUACGCUAUCAGACGAGACUAGGUUGGAUUAGCUAGUUGGUGGGGGAAAGGACUACAAAGGCGACGAACAGUAACUGGUCUGAGAGGGUGAACAGUCAGACGGGAACAGAGGGUCGAUCCAGACACCUGCGGUGAGAAGCGGUGGGAAAUAUUGGGGAAGGGGGGAGUGCCUAAUACAGCAAAGCGGCGGGUGUGAAGAAGGUCUGCGGAUGUGAAAGCACUUUAGGUUGGAAGGAAGGGCAGUAAGUUAAUAUCUUACUGUUUUGACGUUACCAUCAGAAUAAGCACCGGCUAACUUCGUG
rnacentral:rRNA from 1 species